rnacentral:misc_RNA from 1 species
ACGAAUAAACUUGAACAGGCUGUUGCUAGCUCCCCCUGGGAGGCAUGUGCACGCUUGUCAUCUUUGUUUCUCCAACUGUGCACACAUUGUAGACCUUUCGGUUCGAGUUUGGGACUGCCAUCGCGGCCAGGGUCUAUGUCAUUUUUCACAAACCAAUGAAUUUGUUUAGAAUGUUGAAUCAGGUCCUUUUUGUACCUAUAAAAGUUAUAAA